CCGACGUGAUGUCUCCAUUCCCUCCUUCAGGGAACGAGGGUUGCACAUGUAACCGAGACAUUUCAACCCUUUUCCUGAAUC